AGCAUUGUGGCCUAGUGGAUAGAGCACUGGCCUGGGGGUCAGGGACCUGGGUUCUAAUCCCAGCUCUGCCA
rnacentral:tRNA from 1 species